rnacentral:rRNA from 1 species
AUUGAACGCUGGCGGCAGGCCUAACACAUGCAAGUCGAACGAGUGGCGGACGGGUGAGUAAUGUCUGGGAAACUGCCUGAUGGAGGGGGACACCUACUGGAAACGGUAGCUAAAACCGCCCACCAUCGGCGGUGCCCAGAUGGGUGUAGCUAGUGGGUGGGGUAACGGCAAACCUGGGCGCCGAUCCCUAGCUGGUCUGAGAGGAUGACCAGCCACACUGGAACUGAGACACGGCCCAGACUCCUACGGGAGGCAGCAGUGGGGAAUAUUGCACAAUGGGGGCAAGCCUGAUGCAGCCAUGCCGCGUGUAUGAAGAAGGCCUUCGGGUUGUAAAGCACUUUCAGCAGGGAGGCGUUACCCGCAGAAGAAGCACCGGCUAACUCCGUGCCAGCAGCCGCGGUAAUAC